rnacentral:rRNA from 1 species
UCUAGCAGCUUUAUUCAUAAUUGCCAAAUUAUGAAUCUCGGAACCUAAGUAGGAUCGGGCCUGAUUAGUACUUGGAUGGGAGACCACCUAAGAAGACCAGGUGCUGUAGAU